rnacentral:lncRNA from 1 species
UCUCUCUUCCUCCAAACACAAAUGGCACCACCACCCUGGUAAUAAAACCAUGAAGAUCAGCUUUAUCACUACUACAGAGAACCUGCUUAACCCAUUUGAAAUACUUGAUGAAUUAAAUUGUAUUCCACUGGCUUUGUACAAGCUGCUCUUUAUACUAUAAGACGAAUCAACACACUCGAUCUUAUGAUUGUUGUUGCUGUAGUAGCAGAUCGAUUUAAUUUACUGUUGUCUUUUACAAUGAAAACGUUGAGAAAGUGUUCGUUCAUGAAUUGUAAUAAACAGCCCACUUGUAUGGCACUGGAAUUCAAUUCCACGCUAUCGAUCCUGUGGUUUGGAUGGAAUUGGUCGUCGUCAUCACAUGAUUUUCCAUAUGUAAUAAAGUCUCCUUUAUUUGGCUUAUUGUCCCAUUGAUUCUUCGAGGAAAUUCCCAAGUUUUUGCUUUACAUCAAUAUUAAUUCAAUGGCUGGUAACACACAUGACUCUCGUCUCUCUGUUUCGUUCCUUUUACUUUUCACCAUGGUUUUUGAACCCUAUCCAAGGUUGAUCUGGAGCAAAUCCUGGAUUGUGGGUUAGGUGAAACUUGAGAAGGUUAUUUAUCAAGAAAUUCUCAAAUCCUACCAAUGUCUAUUCUAACUUAGCAACAUCGUCUUUUUAUUUGUUAAUAAUAUAUUUAAAUACAAAACAAGAUUCAAAUUAAUUUAAAUAAUAUAGUUAAAUGAAAACAAGAUUUCAAUUAAUUUCACUCUUUCUUUCAUUUUUAUUUUCAAAACCUUCACCAUUCUAAUCCUUCUCAGCUAUCAUGUCUCCCUUCUUUGAUAUUGUUAUCAAAUAGCAAAAGUGCAAAUAAUCAUGCUCUUGGAGAUAUCAAAAUUAUCCUACAAAUCAACAAUUCCAUUCAUAUAGGAUUUUAAAUUUUCUUGUUUCAAGAUUUGUUAGAUUAGUGUUAGAUUUGUUAUUGGACGGUAUGAAACAUUAGUUUAGUCAAACUUGAACCGAUUCAUAAUAAAAUUUUUAAAAAGCAUUCACUGUGGCUAUUAAAAACAUGUUUGUUUUUGUAUUUUUUUUUUUUAAAAAAACAGAGAGACCAAUUUGCCAACAAGCUAUAAUAAUAGAACCCACAGGUUGAUUGAUGAAACCCUGACCCCAAGAUCUGGGGACAGCUGAAGAACACCUUGAAAAAUCUUGCAUUUUACUCAUACUUUUUACAAGAGACAAAUGAACUGGUCAUCACGCGCGACAUGUUCCCUACGGCUGAAAAUUGGAUUUCAAUAAAUAUCUUCCCUUAUAUAGUAAUAACAACAACUAAAACAUAUAUAACAUUCACUAUUUUAAAAAAUAGUUAUUAUGGAUUGCGUUGUUUAUUUUGAAUAAUGAUUCUUUUCCAGAGCAUUCACACAAAAUAAAUUCCAGAGCUACUCUGUUACAAUUGACAUUUCCUCGAAUUAUAACACGGGGUAAAUGAAAACUUUUCCAUUUUCUGCCUUGUUCAACAGAUACUCCUACAAAUAAACUACACUAAGUUGCAUGCCUUGGGUUUGUCUUAGGUAUAUCCAAACUACAUUUAUUUAUACCAAAGGCUUCCAAACUCUGAUUCUGAAUGGCUUAAGAAGAUUGUCCGCAACAAAGUAGUAGCAAGUGUUGAUGCUCUUCUCAAUGAAAUAAAACCAUGCUCGCCGCCAGUCUGGGUCUACGUACAAAACUGCAGCUAUUCCCAAUAGCACCAUGAUGUACGUCAAAACAAAGCUCACACAGAAAACUUGUGCAUCAAUGAUGACGCUACUCUCUUCUUUCUCAUCAGUAGAAGGCCCAGGUGGUGGUACUUCUUUGGUGCAGCUGUUAAGCAGUGGUGGUCCACAAAGUAAGGGAUUUCCCUCGUAGCUGCUCUUAUCGAAUGUUGAGAAUGCUGCAACCAUCUCAGGAGUCUUACCAAAGAGGUUAUUGUUGGCUACAGUAAAAUAGACAAGAUAAUGCAAUUGUACAAGUUGAGGAGGGAUUUCCCCAUUCAAACUGUUAUUGGAAAGGUCCAUGCUCUCAACAUCACUCAAAUUUGAAAGAGUUUGUGGGAUUGAGCCUCUUAAAUGAUUGUUGGACAGGUUCAAUACAAGAAUGUGGUUGAGAUUCCCAAUUUCAGGAGGAAUCGCACCUGACAAACUGUUGCAGGAGAGAUCCAAUCCGGUCAUGUAGUACAAAAUACUUGGUGGAUAAGAAUAAGACAGACUCUUUGUUGCAAUAACCAAUGGUUCUCGAAGAUCAAUCUCAUAAAGAUUUUCUCCACGGCGGAUGAACCGAAUAAUGCUUAUAAAUCUUAGGCAAGGUAGAAUAUGACCAGAAAAAUCAUUAUGAGAAAGAUCAACGAACAUUAAUUUGUUCAACUUGCACAAUUGCAAGGGUAUACUGCUAUCAAGAUUAUUAUAACCCAAGAGAAGAAAGCUCAAUUGGGAAAACUCACCAAUCCAUUUUGGAAUGCUACCAGUCAAAUGAUUAUGGCUAAGAUCCAACGUUAUUAGCUCAAAGGAUUUCUGAAAUGCAUGUUCUAGGGAUCCUUGUAGCAUAUUUCGUGAUAGAUAAACAUGCAGGAGGUUUGAAGAGUUAAAGAAAUAUGGUAAGGUUCCAGAGAUGUUGUUAUUUGAGAGGUCCAAAACUUGAAGAUUCAACAGAAAGUCAAAUGAAGAGGGAACGCGACCACUGAAGUGGUUAUCAGACAUGGAUAAAAAUGUUAAACUUGGAAAAAAUGAUCCUAUUUCUCUAGGAAUGUGGCUUUCGAAGUUAUUGUUAGAAAUAUCUAAUUCAGACAAAUUCUGAUGAGGAUGAAUUGGCAAUUGAAAAGUCCCUGAAAGAGAAUUGUUGACCAAAUGGAGUUCAUUUAGGUUUGUGUUGUUCUCUAACAACCAAAAAGGAAACCCUCCCCUCAAUUUCAGGUUAGAAAAAUGAAUUUCUUGGAGGUUGUAUUGAUGGAGGAGGAAUUUGGGAAAGGAAAAUGCUCCACCAUAUCCAUUGCCAGAUAAACUAAGACGCUUUAAUUGGAACUUUGGGGCGAAAUUAUGCUCCUCAAAUUCUUCAACAUAUAUUUUGUUAUUACUACCAUCGAAAUCCUUGAGUUGUGAAUGAUUGAGAAAUGAGCUCAAUGAGAUGGGGAUCUUAAAGUAGUUGUCUGAAAGUGAUAACUCUCGGAUGGAUGUGAGACUUGUAAGAGGAGAGAAGGAAAUGUUUCCAAUAAAAUUAUUGGAAGACAAAUAUAAUCCUUGAAGGGAUGUCAAAUUUGCCAAACACCAGGGCAAAGCACCACUGAAAUCAUUCCCGCUGAUAUCUAGAUUUUGGAGAUGCUUUAACUGACAUAUGCCUGAGAAUUUAUUGAUUCAAAAAUUUUUUAGUUAGAUAAGAAGUAGAACGCCUAAGGUGUGGAAAGGUGGUCAGACUUACCUUGGGCUUUAGGGAUGGAGCCAGUGAGUCGACAACGCUGCAAGCUUAAACUCUUUAGAGUAGUGAUCUUCCCGACUGUUUGCAGAAAGCUAUUAUCGAUAGUGGAGAAACUCAAAUACAACUCUUUUAAAUUCUUGAGAGAUGCCAAGUCUACAAUAAUCAAACCCACAAGAAAUUAUGCUCGGUAUUCAAGAGCCGAAUAAUGAUAAGGAAACAAGAUGAUGAAACGAACAAGAAGCUCCAUUAAAAUGAUAAGGAAACAAGAUGAUGAAACCAACAAGAAGCAGAACGCCUAACGAGGGGAAAGGUGGCCAGACUUACCUUGGGCUUUAGGGAUGGAGCCAUUGAAUCGACAGCCAUACAAGCUUAAACUCUUUAGAGUAGUAAUCUUCCCGACUGUUUGCAGAAAGCUAUUAUCGACAGUGGAGGAACUCAAAUCCAACUCUUAUAAAUUCUUGAGAGAAGCCAAGUCUACAAUAAUCAAACCCACAAGAAAUUAUGCUCGGUAUUCAAGAGCCGGAUAAUGAUAAGGAAACAAGAUGAUGAAACCAGCAAGAAGCUCCAUUAUAAUGUCCCCGCUACAAUCAAUUAAAUUCCUAUAACUAGGAAAAUAUGAUUUAAAGCACGUUUACAAAGAAAAAAAGAACAAUUAACAGAUAUUCAGGAUCGCUUUUAGGCAUCAAUACCACAAAUUACCUUUAUCUAAUGUUGUUCCGAAACUUCCUUCAAGAUUAUUCUCAGCCAAAUAAAGGGUCCCGAGGUUUGGGAAUUUUGUCAACGAUUGCAGCAAUGUAAAUGGAAGAGCUCUUCCAUUUGAGGUGCUAUUAGAUAAUGAAAUGAGGCUUACAUUUCCAAAACCUCUAGUAUCUACAGGGGACAGCGCAGAAGUAAAAUAAGUUUUAAAACCUUCUGAGCUUUUAUUCCAGAGCAAAAUCAUCCUCGAAAAUACAAUUCAAUUAAUGAGAUUUUAGGUUGAUCAAGAGGUAAAGCUACCAUCAAUCAAUGUGGAAAGCAAUCAAUACCUUUGGAUAACACAAAUUUAUCAAUCUCGUUUCCAUCUAGAUACACUUCCUCUAAGUUGAUCAAAGCAUCCAGCUCUAGGUUGUCGAAAAACAGAAAUUUAAUAUUACAUCACAACAAAAAUCACAGAUUGGCUUCUAGGAAUCAAAAAAGGUGAGGUUACCAGUCACAUUGAAUGAUCCUUUCAGUUGGUUGUACCCUAUAUCCAGGGAUUUGAGAGAUGGAAGACCCUUGAGGGAUGAUAAGGCACUGUCAUUGAAGCGAUUCUCAUCCAAAAGAAGUUCUUCCAGAUUUCUUAACCUCAGUAAGUCGUCACCAGUACCUAUAAAAAUACCAUAAGCUUUCAUGUAACCUGAAAGGAUAAUGGAGUACUUAUGUGAAAACAAAUGCUCAAUCAACACAACUCUUUCAUACCAUGAAUGGAUUUAAAGCUUUCAAUUUCAUUGCCACCAAACGCCAACGUCCGCAAGCUUGUUAGAUUAUUCAGUUCUGGCCAAAUAUAAUUGUACCAAGUACAACAAUUAUAAAAGGGCAGUAAUUAACAUGGUUUUAUUUGGGAAAGAAAAGGAGAGAAGUGAUCAAGCUUAAUUACCAUCAACACUAAUUGCUCCUUUGAGUUGGUUACCAGAUAGAGACAGGGUUCUCAAAGAGGAAAGCCCACCAAGGGAUGAAAGGAUGCUGUUGUCGAAUUUGUUGUCGUCUAAAUAGAGAGCCACCAAGCUGUCAAGUCCUGAUAGUCUUUCAAAACCUGCAUGGGCAUUUCAAUCAGUAGAUUGAAAAAUAUAGAAUCUAUUCUUUUUUUUUUUGCUGUUGAAAUUGCAGUAGCACGCAAACAAGAGAUAAACCUUCAUUCUCAACACAGCCAACUAUAAUAUUUCCGCCUAAAUAAAGAGAUUGCAGUUCUUGGAAGGGACGAAACAAAGAGACAUUUAGGUACAAAUCUCCCAAUCCCUCUUCCCUCAUGCGUGAAAGAUGAAGGUUGAAGGAAUGUGCCGCUUGAGUAAUUAAAGGAGCUUUUAAUCCGCAAGAGAGCACUUCUCUCUUCGUCUAAACAGCCGUGACAUGACCACCAGCUUUCUGACAAAACCAUAGCAUAAAUCAUCAGUGUCCCUGCUAAAGAAGAGAACCUGUUUAAACCCAUUUGGACUCCUCGAUGAAAUUAUGUAUCGAAAAACAACGGUCAGAGGCUCUUUAUAAAUAAGAUCGUUGGAUUGCAAUUUGCAAUAUCACAAUCAAAUGUCGUAAUUUUCCACGGGCCAUAGACAAAGUCCUCUCUUUCGGCUUAUUUUCCAAAUUCAUAUUCUUCGUGGAAAGUGCUAGGCUGUUAGCGUUUCCUCCGUAACUUGGGACUAGGCUGGUAUGAGGUUGGAAGGAUUUUAAAUAAAAAGGAUUCUGAACUACUUUUUUUGUUUUCAACAAUAAUAGCGACAUAGACAAAUGAAAUGGUCAUCGCAUGCAAUGUCUUCCCUACGGCAAAAAACAGUGCCAUCAGUGUCAGUCUUGUUAAUGGUAGUAGAAAAUUCAAAGAGUCUUGCAGUGAAGAUUUUUAAUCAUUUAGGUUUCACUAAUCGUUUCUUUAAUUUUAUAUAUAUAUUUUUUAUAAACGUUCAGUCUGAAAUAGGUAUUAAAAUAAUAUGAUGUUAGGGGUGAGCAAAACCGGUUCGGUUCGGUUCUUAUCUAAAAAACUAACCAAAACCGAAAUUUAAAAAACUUAAAAAUUCAAACCGAAACCGAACCGGAACCGGUUCAAACCGACCGGUUUCGGUUCGGUUCGGUCCGGUUUUUUUAACAGAAAAACCGGAAAACCUGUAUUAUUUUUUUGUUCCCUCCGAUGAAUGAUUCUUUGUUCUUGCUUGAUUACCGGAGGACUACUGUUAGAAGGCGUUGUCACUGCGACUUGGUGCUUAGUGUGCUCUUCACGGAAAGGAGUGAAACGAGCAAGGAGAGAGAGUAAACCUUUUAGGGAAGUAAUGGGGGGAAAGGAAGAGACAGAAUCACAUGAGAAGGAUACAGAUGGGGUCCAUUGAAAGCAAAGUUAGGACUAGAAGGGUUGAACGGAUAUGGAUGAAGAAUCAAAGAUGAAUUGACUUGAUUUUUUUGCAGAGUGAGUGAAAGUGUGAGUUGUGUGAGGUGCGGCCGUGAGGAUGAGGGAGCGGCUGCAAGGAGUUGCUGGAGUGAGAGUGUCUAGGUCUAGGAUUAAGUUUUUUUUCUUCCUAUUUAUAGUACCCCUUAAACCGAGCCGGUUCGGUUCGGUUGGGGUUUUGCCGGUUUCAGGUUUUGGAAACCGAAACCGAACCGAACCGGAAAUUUUUACAAAAAAAAUAAUCGGUUUAAUCGGUUUUUUUUUUCGAUUCGGUUUUUUCGGUUUUUUUUUUUCUCGGUUUUCUCGGUUUACUCGGUUUCUCGGUUUUUUUGCUCACCCCUAUAUGAUGUUGAGCCAAAUUGAAUUUAAUAAUAAUAAUAAUAAUAAUAAUAAUAAUAUAAUCAGCUAGUUAAUAUUGUAUUUUAAUAUAAAAUGCAUGUUUGAUAUUAUGAUGUAAAUGUUUUUUACUUAAAAAUAUAUUAAAAUAUUUUUUUAAUUUUUUAUAUUUUCAAUAUUAACUUAUCAAAUAAUAAAAAAACAAUAAAAAUUAAAUUAAUAUGAUUUUGAGUCAAAUUGAAUUUAAUAAUAAUGGUAUAAUUAGUUAAUUAAUAUUGUAUUUUAAUAUAAAAUAAAUGUAUGAUAUUAUGGUGUACAUAUUUUUUACUUGAAAAUAUAUUAAAAUAUUUUUUAAAAUUUUUAAUAUUAACUUAUCAAAUAGAGAAAAAAAAAUUCAUUUUCAGAAGACUGCAACUUUGUCCUUGCAGCGAAGCUCUGCAAUUUUUUUUUUUUUUAUAACGUUUCUACCGAGCAAAGUUGCAACAAAACGAAUCAUUUCUUUUCAUUUAUGCUUUGUAGAUUAGUUCCUUUACUAGUCAUAUAGUCCCAUUAUAUUACUGUUAGAUUUGUUAUUGGACGGUUUGGAACAUUAGAUCUGUCAAACUUGCAACGAUUUGUAAUAAAGAUUUAAAAAAGCAUUAACCGCAGCUAUUAAAAACAUGUUUGUUUUUGCAUUUAAAACAGAGAGACCAAUUUGCCAACAAGCUAUUAUAAUUCAACCCACAGUUUGAUUGAUGAAACCCUGACCCCAAGAUCUGGGGACCGCUGAAGAACACCUUGAAAAAUCUUGCAUUUUACUCUUACUUUUUACAAGAGACAGAUGAACUGGUCAUCGCGCGCGACGUGUUCCCUACGGGCGAGAAUAAUGCAGUGGCUGUCAAUCUUGUUAGUGGUUGUGGAAAAUUACACGCUAUGACGAGAAGAAGGUUGCUGCAUUCAUUCAUCGCUUGACCUGAUGAUGGCUCGAGGGGCCACCUGCUAAGACAAAAGAAAAGAAAGUUGUUAACAGUGGUCCAAAUUGCCAGCCACGAUGUGCCCGCAAGCUUUUUUCCUCCUAUGGAAAACACAUUUUACUAUCUUGGCGUUUAUAAACGGAUGAUUGCGUGUUCUUCGUCAUGUGUAUCAAGAACCCAGUAAAGCCAUCUAAGAAGACUGCUGAAAAAAAAAUAGUUUAGAUUUCCUCAGCUGACUUCGAGUCAAGGCGUAGAGCUUCAAUUCCACGCAAUGGAUCCUGUGCUUUGGAUGGAAUUGGUCGUCGUCAUCACAUGAUUUUCCAUAUGUAAUAAAGUCUUCUUUAUUUGGCUUACUGUCCCAUUGAUUCUUCG